rnacentral:tRNA from 1 species
GGGUAGAUGGCCGAGUGGUCUAAGGCGCUAGUUUUAGGUUUCGAUGCAAUCACUAGUCUUCGGGCGUGGGUUCAAAUCCCACUCUGCUCA